rnacentral:lncRNA from 1 species
UUUAAAUGAAAGCAAACUUGCUUGAGAGAGAGUCAAAGCAGAUGUCCUAAAGUUUGUAGCCUUUUCAUCCAGCAAGCUGAUGGCUCUUGCAUUAAGGAGAUGUGACAUGCAGAAAUUUUGAUCUAAAAGUCUUGGAGGACACUGAGUUUAUAACUAAUGAAUUCUAAUUGGGUAGAUGAAGUGGGUUAUUCUGCCAUGUGUUUUUAUAGUUCAGAGGCAUUAUUCUUACCUUUCUUGACAUUGCCACUUAUUUUAUAAGUAGAAAUAAAAUCUUACCCCAAGGAAGCCCUAAAAAUAAGAUAAAAAAAUUAAGCUAUUAUCUUUAGUCCAUUCAUUAAAUUUGUAGUUUAUAGUAGCCUAAAAAUACUUACCCCCAGUUGGUUCAAAAUGGAGGUGAUCAACUGAGAAAGAAGAAAAAUCAAUGUCAGGACUAUCAGUAGGUUUAUUUUUAAUUUUAAUGUAGUACAUGUAUAAAUUAGACUAUUUUGUAUAUGAAAAUGGUUUUAUUGAAAAUUCCACUUUGUUACUUAUGAUUUUAUUUACAUAAUGUAAGAUUUUAAAAUGAAGAAUCAAUACCAAGAUUUACAUUUCUUUAAUUUACAGAAAUAUUUUCUUCUGUCUUGUAACUCUAUUCAUUAUGUUUGACUCUCACUCUUGGCAAUCACAGAAGAAAUUAUUUCAUUGAUGUAUAGUUGGGUUGAAUUGAAUAAGUGAAUAUAUAAUUGUUCUCAGGCAUUAAGAUUGUUUUUUGGGUUUGAAUUUAACAGCUGUGCUUUAUUUUGUAUCUACAUGAAUUGGACUAAUAAGAGUAAUUUUCAGGAUGAAUUGGCUCAUUUUAUGCAGUAUUUUGAAUAUAAUAUAUUUAUAGACUUAUAGGUUAACAAGGCAAAAUGUAUUUACCAUUAUGAAUUCAUUAGGUGUCAGGACCUAGAAUAAAGGAAAUACGAAAUAAUCUAGGAGUUGAUAAUUCAGCAUUUUAACUUUUUUCUGUUAUAAUUUUAUAUUAGCUUGGUAAAUGAAAACAUGCUUUUUAGAAUGCAUUUAAGAAUUAUAUCAUUAAGAUUCAUAUUUACUAAUAUUUUUAAAGUAUCUCCCCCUUGGUACCUCUUUCUCAAACCUAUUUCUGGAUAUAUGUAGUCCAUAUUUUCUUUUGUGGAUUCCAAACAUAUAAUAUUUAUUUUUUAGUUAUAGGUAUACACAAUAUUUUUAUUUUUAUGUGGUGCUGAGGAUCGAAUCCAGUGCCCCACGCAUGCUAAGCAAGCACUCUUCCUCUGAGCCACAGUUUCCCAGUUUCCUUUUUUAUAAGUUUUUUUAAAAAUGUUUUUUAGUUGUCAAUGAAUCUUUUUAAAAUUUUUUUUUUUUUUUUUGUAGUUGUAGAUGGACAGAAUGCCUUUAUUUUAUUUAUUUUUAUGUGGUGCUGAGGAUCCAACCCAGUGCUUCACGCAUGCUAGGCAAGCACUCUGCCACUAAGCUACAGCUCUAGUCCAGUGGGUCUUUUAUUUAUUUAUAUGCCAUGCUGAGGAUGGAUCUCAGGGCCUCACAUAUGCUGGGCAAGCAUUCUACCAUGGAGCCAUGACUCCAGCCUGGAAUUUCUUUUUUGAAGAUCAUUAAACCUAUGCUUACUAGGUUGAGAAAAAAUACUACACUUUUGCAUUAACAUUAUGAAAGAAACUAUAAUAAUGUUAUUUUCUGUAAUUUUAAGAAGAGUAUAAUUUUAAAAAUUGGAAUUAAUAUACUAUAAAAUAUAUAACUUUUUUUUUCUAAAUCAGUCAUAUAAUUAUCAGUACUUCAGUGAAGUCCCAUUAAAGUAAAAUUUAAAUAAACCUUAUAUACCAUGAACAUAACCCUAAAUAUAGUUCAAAGGCUUCAAGGACAGAUACAUUUCAAUAAGUAUCCCCUCUCCCCAUGAAUGUCAAAUGUAAGCAUAACUUCAGAGGCACAAUGUAUUUCAUAAAAGAUCUAUUUUUACUCUCUUGUCUUUGAGAAUAAGGUAAGGCUGAGAGGAGCCUGAUUAUUCCAAAGUGUUAAAGAGCAGACCUAGAGCUGGCAUCUCUAGAACAAUUUGCCUUCAAAUUUUUCUACUGGUCCCCAGGUUUAUUCCAUACAAUCACUGAAUGUAUCAGGUUUUAGGUUUGAGAUUUAUAUAUUAAGUUGUUCAAAAUUUAACAAUUGGUAUUUUGUUAAGACAAAGUAUCAAUAACUAGUAGUCCCCAAAGAGAAUGCUAAUCAUUAAUUCUUGGUAUAAAAUUCCUCUCUAAU